CAGAGCAGUGCUCAGAAAGUGAUCUCCAUGCCUGGAAGCAAUGGAGGGAUUCUUCAGGAAGCCAGAAGAAAUCACCUUCCAUGACAACAGCCAGCAAGUAGGAAUAAAAAUAAAAGUUUCAACUUCUGCUUUCUGUUCCCAGACAGAUGGGCCAGCUGAGUAAGGGAGAACUCUUCAGCUCAGAUCUGCAGAGGACCAUGCAUCUCAUCUGCCUCUCUCCUCCCAGCACUGGCAAAGCGUGAAUUGCUUUUGACACACGGAUGGCUCAAGGGCCCAAAAAGCAGUUAGAAGCAGAUGGGAUAAGUGAAGGAAGGAAAGAAAGGAACAAAGAAAACAGAGGCCAAGAGUUACCCGGCAUCGCUUCUGUUCUGCGCUGUGAGAACAGACUUAGGGAGCAGAAGAAACAUCUGUUUGGAAACUGCCUUCGUCUCAAUCCAAAUGCUGGAACAGCAGAAAAGAGGGAAGUUGAGAACUGCCAGCACACCUCGUGCUUUAUCUCACACUUGGGUGGCUGAAGAGGAGGGAUCUGGGAGGAUGAGUUUAGUUUAAGGAUUGCUCACUGGUUCACCUGCUGCCCAUCUGUCUUUGUAGCCCUUGCUUGGAGGGACAGACUGGAGCACUGCUGUCCUCUCCCCUUGCAGGAAUUACUUGUGAUUUGAACUUCUGAAGAGAGGAGCAGAGCAAUUAUCAAGCAUUAAGUGCGCAGUAGAGAUUAGUCCAAUAAUUUAUCAAAGGUAAUAGUUAUUCAGAGACACAAAAAACGCACUCCCAGCCCUCCCAGAGCCUCCCAGAGCCUCAUGUCAGAGUUGUCACCUUAACAAAAGUGUUAGAAGAAAUUCUUGGACCACAGCAGCAAAUGUAUUAGCCAGAAGCUGAUAAACACUUCCAGGAGUCCCCUAGUCAAAAAUAAAUCACACAAAUCAAGUUGCAAAUACUGGAUCUUUAAUAAAAAAAAAUGAAGUUGGUGGAGUGGAUGCUAGAACAAUGUUAGGAUUCAGCUGGCAGGAUGAAAGAGCUUGGCUUUCAUUGAGUCUGACCCCCCCAUUACCAGAGGGAGCAGGGCUUGGCCAUGGCCCUGUGCCAGCACUGCACUAGACAGUCAUCACACAACAAUGAUUAAUGAACUCUUGAAAGAAUAAAGCAAGAAAUGGGAAGUCAGGGAAUUGAGGUAAUCAACUAAAGAAAAAAAACCAUAAAGAUUCAUCAAAAUCAGAGGCAGAAAGCACCUCCUAGGUCACAGACUCCAUGUGUCUGCCAAUGUAGAAGUGGCUCCCACAGUGCUGCUCUGGCAGUUUCCUUUCAAGACCUAAGCAAUAAGCUUCACUCCGUGCCACUUACCCAAUUUCACCCUAAUAUUAAACUAAAAAUUGUAUUUAGCCUUUGAAAUUCAAAAAUGAAGGAACCAGAAGAGCAGACCGCUGUCUACUGCUUUAUCAGCCAAGGAGUUGCCUUUCCAAAAAUCAGUCUUCCAAAUUACUCUGCUGUGCAGCCACUGAUGGGAGUGGGCAGAUCCACACCCUGCAGUGACCAUGCUCUGGUUGCUGAAGGGCUCACUAACACACAGAACACCUGAUGGAGAAUAUAAUCAGUGACAGCAAUGAUGUUCCAGGACUGAGAAAUCCUAACGUAGUACCAGUACUGGAAGAAGGCCUUCAAGAAAGCCAAAACAGCACCAGAAAUCAGCCAAGGAUUUGUUUAGGUUUAUGUAGCACAGUGCUGAACUAACAUAAGGACCUGUCCUUCCUAGGUAACUGCCGAGGAAAAUAGAGGUUCAGAUGGAAGAAGAGCCAGAAACAUCCAUAUUUCCAUGGGAAGCAUUUUAUUUGUGAGCUGGGCUGGCUAAGCCAGACAGCAGGAGGGUUUCAGGAUGGAUGAAAUGUGGUUACAUUAUAAUUAUCUUUUGUUACUUGGCAAAGUA